rnacentral:sRNA from 1 species
ACUCAACACUAUUAGAUUAAAAAGGAUAAGUCUUGAUUAGUAAAGUGUGCCAGCUCUGUUCUGGAUCCUUGAGGAAUCAGUUAGUCCUAAACCUGUUUAACAGGAGUUU